UUGUUUUUUUAUAAUUUUAUGAACUAUUCAUAUCCAACUUUAGGGUUUAGGGUCGAAUCACCAUCGCUCUCUAUUUUCUCUUCUUCUUCGAUAGUUCCGUCACUCUCUUCUUAUGGAUUGUUGGUCCCUUUCUCUCCCUCUCGACGACGAGUUCAAGAAGCUCGUCAAUCAUAUGAACCCUCACAGGGUUACCAUUGAUAAUGAUUCUAUCAGAAAAGCUACUCCGAUUAAGUAAUCAGCCCUUUCGUUGCAUCAGCAAGCAGCCGAAAACCGCUGCAAAGCUCAGACACAAACACCUCGACGUCGAGCUUCUGUGCCAUCACCGGCAACAAGUCUUCAUACCCUUCAUCCACUCUACUUGAGGUAUUAUGAUUUUGAU